rnacentral:rRNA from 1 species
AUGGGCCCGCGGUGCAUUAGCUAGUUGGUAGGGUAAUGGCCUACCAAGGCNNCGAUGCAUAGCCGACCUGANAGGGUGAUCGGCCACACUGGGACUGAGACACGGCCCANACUCCUACGGGAGGCAGCAGUAGGGAAUCUUCCGCAAUGGACGAAAGUCUGACGGAGCAACGCCGCGUGUAUGAAGAAGGUUUUCGGAUCGUAAAGUACUGUUGUUAGAGAAGAACAAGAAUAANAGUAACUGCUUGUCCCUUGACGGUAUCUAACCAGAAAGCCACGGCUAACUACGUGCCANCAGCCGCGGUAAUACGUAGGUGGCAAGCGUUGUCCGGAUUUAUUGGGCGUAAAGCGCGCGCAGGCGGUCUUUUAAGUCUGAUGUGA